AAUGAACGCUGGCGGCAUGCCUAACACAUGCAAGUCGAACGAGACCUUCGGGUCUAGUGGCGUACGGCUGCGUAACGCGUCGGAUCCUGCCCUUAGGUUUGGAAUAACUCUCCGAAAGGGGUGCUAAUACCGGAUAAUGUCUUCGGACCAAAGAUUUAUUGCCUGUGGAUGGGCCAGCGUUGGAUUAGCUAGUUGGUUGGGUAAAAGCCUACCAAGGCGACGAUCCAUAGCUGGUCUGAGAGGAUGAUCAGCCACACUGGGACUGAGACACAGCCCAGACUCCUACAAGAGGCAGCAGUGGGAAAUAUUAGACAAUGGGCGAAAGCCUAAUCCAGCGAUGCCGCGAGAGUGAUGAAGGCCUUAGAGUUAAAAAGCACUUUUACCCGGGAUGAUAAAGACAGUACAGGGAGAAAAAGCUCCGGCAAACUGCG
rnacentral:rRNA from 1 species